rnacentral:rRNA from 1 species
GGAGAAUGUUAUCACGGGAGACACACGGCGGGUGCUAACGUCCGUCGUGAAGAGGGAAACAACCCAGACCGCCAGCUAAGGUCCCAAAGUCAUGGUUAAGUGGGAAACGAUGUGGGAAGGCCCAGACAGCCAGGAUGUUGGCUUAGAAGCAGCCAUCAUUUAAAGAAAGCGUAAUAGCUCACUGGUCGAGUCGGCCUGCGCGGAAGAUGUAACGGGGCUAAACCAUGCACCGAAGCUGCGGCAGCGACACUGUGUGUUGUUGGGUAGGGGAGCGUUCUGUAAGCCUGUGAAGGUGUGUCGUGAGGCAUGCUGGAGGUAUCAGAAGUGCGAAUGCUGACAUAAGUAACGAUAAAGCGGGUGAAAAGCCCGCUCGCCGGAAGACCAAGGGUUCCUGUCCAACGUUAAUCGGGGCAGGGUGAGUCGACCCCUAAGGCGAGGCCGAAAGGCGUAGUCGAUGGGAAACGGGUUAAUAUUCCCGUACUUGGUGUUACUGCGAAGGGGGGACC